GUGCUUGCAUUGGCAGCAUAUAUAUUAAAAUUGGAAUGAUACAGAGAUUAGUAUGGCCCCUGUGCAAGGAUGACACGCAAAUUCAUGGAGCAUUCCAUAUUUAA